rnacentral:rRNA from 1 species
AUUGAACGCUGGCGGCAGGCUUAACACAUGCAAGUCGAGCGGGGUUUUCGGACCUAGCGGCGGACGGGUGAGUAAUGCGUAGGAAGCUACCCGAUAGAGGGGGAUACCAGUUGGAAACGACUGUUAAUACCGCAUAAUGUCUACGGACCAAAGUGUGGGACCUUCGGGCCACAUGCUAUCGGAUGCGCCUACGUGGGAUUAGCUAGUUGGUGAGGUAAUGGCUCACCAAGGCGACGAUCCCUAGCUGGUGUGAGAGGAUGAUCAGCCACACUGGAACUGAGACACGGGCCAGACUCCUACGGGAGGCAGCAGUGGGGAAUACUGGACAAUGGGCGCAAGCCUGAUCCAGCCAUGCCGCGUGUGUGAAGAAGGCCUUCGGGUUGUAAAGCACUUUCAGCGAGGAGGAAGGGGUGAGUGUUAAUAGUACUCAUCUUUGACGUUACUCGCAGAAGAAGCACCGGCUAACUCUGUGCCAGCCGCCGCAGUAAAAC